rnacentral:rRNA from 1 species
UACGGGGGGGGCAAGCGUUGUUCGGAAUUACUGGGCGUAAAGGGCUCGUAGGCGGCCAUCUAAGUCGGACGUGAAAUCCCUCGGCUCAACCGGGGAACUGCGUCUGAUACUGGGUGGCUUGAAUCCGGGAGAGGGAUGCGGAAUUCCAGGUGUAGCGGUGAAAUGCGUAGAUAUCUGGAGGAACACCGGUGGCGAAGGCGGCAUCCUGGACCGGCAUUGACGCUGAGGCGCGAAAGCUAGGGGAGCGAACAGG